CCUACGGGUGGCAGCAGUGGGGAAUAUUGCACAAUGGGGGAAACCCUGAUGCAGCGACGCCGCGUGAGCGAAGAAGUAUUUCGGUAUGUAAAGCUCUAUCAGCAGGGAAGAAAAUGACGGUACCUGACUAAGAAGCCCCGGCUAACUACGUGCCAGCAGCCGCGGUAAUACGUAGGGGGCAAGCGUUAUCCGGAUUUACUGGGUGUAAAGGGAGUGUAGACGGCUGGGCAAGCCUGAAGUGAAAGGCUGGGGCUAAACCCCCGGACUGCUCUUGAAACUGUAAGGCUGGAGUGUAGGAGAGGCAGGUGGAAUUCCUAGUGUAGCGGUGAAAUGCGUAGAUAUUAGGAGGAACACCAGUGGCGAAGGCGGCCUACUGGACGGUAACUGACGUUGAGGCUCGAAAGCGUGGGGAGCAAACAGGAUUAGAUACCCGUGUAGUC
rnacentral:rRNA from 1 species